CUUGACCGAGCCGAGCCACAGCGGGUUGUCCCUGCCCUGCCCGUAGGUCGCGAGCAGUGCCUGCGCCUC
rnacentral:antisense_RNA from 1 species